CCGAGCGUACUGUUCCCUCAAGCGCCGAUUCUUUCUUCUCGCGUACAAUCCCUAACUUUCACCGUCGCCGCUCAGAUCACCACGCUCAAGCGCCGCUACCUCCUCUCCCUUUUUCCUCUCUAACCUGCUCUUGCCGUCGCCACUCCUCUCCCCCACGCUCAUCAUCUCUGUCGCUGAUCCUCACCCUUUUUCCUCCCUAACCCAUUCUCGCCGUCACCGCUCCUCUCACCCAUGUUCACGCAUCCUUGUCGUCACCGCCGCCGCCGCCGGCCUCCAUCGCUUGUCUCCACCACAAUUCCUCCACAGCACUGCCUCCUCUGUGAUUCCUUAGGUUUACGGAAGGAAGUAGUGAGUGGAGGUUUUGGUCUAAGAAAUUUGAAGCUUUCAAGAUGAAGUCCAACCCAUUGUUGCGGCUUGCCAAGCAAAGUUCGGUGAUUAUCAAUGGUGAAAUUCUUACUAUAUUCUUCUUUAGCAAAGCACUUCGGCCAAAUUUCAGCAAAGCCUCUUUGUUUCUCUGUUGUGUGCUUGAUAAACUGACUAUGCAAGUCUAUUGCAUUUUGAGUUCUUAUUAGUUAGAAUGUAUAAUUGUUAUUGCCACUGCAAUUCUCCUCUAAUUUAGAUAUUUAUAAGAUUAAUUUCUCUAUUGUUUUGUAAUUAUAGUUAUCAUCUUUACUAUUUGCUCUUUGUUUGGUGAAUGAAAAUGACUAGAAAAACUUUGAUGUAGCGACAAUGCAAUGGUAAUUUGGUCACAAUUGAAGGGGAAAACAACCCAGUUCAAGAAUCCCAGUUCUAUUGGUCAGGCAAUUGCCAAAAAUCUUCCUGAAUCUGAGAUGAUUGAAUCUACCUCUGUUGCUGGACCUGGAUUUGUGAAUAUAAAAUUUUCAAACAAGUGGUACACAGUUUGGCAUGUUAAUCGAGUAUUUGUUUGAACAAUUUCCAAAUUAGUAGGAUGCUGGGGAUCAAGCUAUUGGUGACCUUCAGGAGGUUGGUUGGUUCACUUCCGUGAGUUUCAUUUCAAAGUGUAAUGCUAUCCAUUGAUAAGUGCCUAUGGAAUGAUAUUUUAUUUGUUUCUCACUUGGUGACAGAUAUUUGGAUUUUGCAUAUGAUGGUUGAAGAUAGUUGAUAGUAAAUUAGUAGAGCUUUUUAUUUUACAAGAUUUUGUUAGUUCUAAAACUCAAUGUUUUGUUAGUAUUUACUUAGUGUUGGAUUUAAUACUUUUACAUUAGUAUUGCAUUUGUAUUUUUGUGAUGAUGAGAUGAAUUGUGAUGACGUGGUGAAUGAAUUGGAUA